AUGUACCUCACGGCGACAGUGGAACUGGACACCAGUAGCCAGCACCAGGCAGUCCGCAAAGAAGUGGCUGAGAAAUGCUAGAAACUGUUCCUCAACUUAAUGGAGAAGCCCCAGAGAAGCAAUGGUGAAAUUGAGUACUUGCAUUUAGCCAAGGAGCUGAUUUGUCUUGAGAGGAACACAUUUGUUGUACGUUUUGCAGACUUGGAACAAUAAAACCAGCAACUCUCCACAACCAUUCAAGAAGAGUUCUACAGAGUCUACACUUACCUGUGUUGUGCCUUGAAGACUUUUGCCAAAGGCUAUAAAGAGACCCUUCUUGCCAAGAAUUUUUAUGUUGUGUUCCAAGAGCUACCUACUAGACACAAGAUUCGAGAACUCACCUCAUCCAGAAUUGGUUUGCUCACUCGCAUCAGUGGGCAAGUAGUACGGACUCACUCCAUUCACCCUGAACGGGUGAGCAGAACUUUCCUGUGCUUGGACUGUCAGAUGGUGAUCAAGGAUGCAGAAUACCAGUUCAAAUACACACAGCCAACUAUAUGCUGAAAUUCAGUUUGUGUCAACAGGAGGAGAUUCUUGCUGGAUACAAAUAAAUCAAGAUUUGUUGAUUUUCAAAAGGUCCAUACUCAGGAGACUCAAGUUGAGCUCCCCCAAGGAAACUUUACCCACAGUUUAGAAGUAACUUUAAGGGCUGACGCUGUGGUGUCAGCUCAGGCUGGUGACAAGUGUGACUUUACGGGGACCUGAUUAUUGUGCCUGACUUCUCUAAGCUUAAUACACCAGGAGUCUGCAGAAACUAAUUCCCAUGUCAGCAGCAGUGCUGAUGGCUAAGAGACAGAAGGCAUUCAGGGACUCCAAGCCUUUAGUGUUUUAAGGAUCUUUCUUACCCACUGGUCUUUCUUGCCUGUUGUGUUGCACCAACCAACCCACAUUUUGGAGGGAAAGAGCUCAGAGAUGAAGAACAGACAGCCGAGAGCAUUAAGAACCAGAUGACUGUAGAGGAGUGAGAGAAAGUUUUUGAAAUGAGUUGAGAUGAAAAUCUCUGCCACAAUCUUUGUACCAGCCUGUUUCCUACUAUACAUGACAAUGGUGAAGUAAAAUGGCGUGUCCUGCUGAUGCUCCUUGGUGGUGUUCUAAAGACAACAGGAGAAGGGGCCUGUCUUUGAGAAGACAUAAAUGUUUGCAUUGUUGGUCACCCAAGUACAGCUAAGAGGCAGUUUUUCAAGCACGUGGAAGAGUUCAGCCCCAGAGAUAUCUGCACCAGUGGCAAAGCAUCCAGAGCUUCUGGCUUAACAGCUGCCUUUGUGAGAGAUGAAGAAUCACAUGAGUAUGUUAUUGAGGCUGGAGCUUUGAUGCUGGCUGAUAAUGGUGUGUGUUGUAUUGAUGAAUCUGAUAAAAUGGAUGUGUGGGAUCAAGCUGCUAUUCAUGAAGCUAGGGAACAUCAGACCAUUUCCAUCACUUUUGGCAGCAGCAAACCCAGUUAGUGGACACUAUGACAGGUCCAAGUCUCUGAAGCAGAAUAUAAAUUUGUCUUCUCCCACUAUGUCCUGAUUCAAUCUCUUCUUUAUCUUGCUGGAUGAAUGUAAUGAGGUUACAGAUUAUGCUAUCGCUAUGUGGAUAGUAGACUCACAUUCAAGAAUUGAGGAGUCGACUGACAGAGUCUACUCCCUUGAUGACAAUCAGGAGAUAUCUUCUUUUUGCCAGACAGUUCAAACCCAAGAUUUCCAAAGAGUCAGAGGACUUCAUUGUGGAGCAAUACAAACAUGUUCACCAGACAGAUGGUUCUUGGGUAGCCAAGUAUUUGUGGAGGAUCACAGUGCAACAGUUUGAGAGCAUGAUCAGUCUUCUGAAGCAAUGGCCUGCAUGUAUUGCUGUGAUGAGGUCCAGCCAAAACAUGUGAAGGACACUUAUCAGUUACUAAAUAAGUCAAUCAUCUGUGUGGAAACUCCUGAUGUCAAUCUAGACCAAGAAAAGGAGACCCAGAUAGAAGAUGAUGAGGGUCUGGAUGGUGUCAAUGGUCUUGCUGACAGUCCUGCCCCUGUGAAUGGAGUCAAUGGCUACAGUGAGGACAUAAAUAAAGAUCUUGUUUCCAAAGCCUCCUUUAGGCUGGGCUUUGAGUACUGCCAAAUCUCUAACCUCACUGUGCUUCACCUCAGAAAAAUGGAAAAAGAGGAGGAUGAGUCAGCAUUGAAGAGGAGUGAACCUGUUAACUGGUACCUGAAGGAUACUGAAUCAGAAAUAGACUCAGAAAAUGAAUUUAUACAUAAAAAGAAAAUGAUAGAGAACGUCAUUCAUCGCCUCAUGCACUACAACCAUAUUCUCAUUGAACUCACCCAGGCUGAGCUCCACAGAGGGAAGUGAGAACUAUGAAGAAGAUCCACACUUAGUAGUUAGCCCUACCUGUUCAAAGACUGAGGAGUGGAAAGUAACUGACAAGAGUUGA